AUUGAACGCUGGCGGCAUGCCUUACACAUGCAAGUCGAACGGCAGCACGGGUGCUUGCACCUGGUGGCGAGUGGCGAACGGGUGAGUAAUACAUCGGAACGUACCUUAUCGUGGGGGAUAACGCAGCGAAAGCUGUGCUAAUACCGCAUACGCCCUGAGGGGGAAAGCGGGGGAUCGCAAGACCUCGCGCGAUUAGAGCGGCCGAUGCCUGAUUAGCUAGUUGGUGGGGUAAAAGCCCACCAAGGCGACGAUCAGUAGCUGGUCUGAGAGGACGAUCAGCCACACUGGGACUGAGACACGGCCCAGACUCCUACGGGAGGCAGCAGCGGGGAAUUUUGGACAAUGGGGGCAACCCUGAUCCAGCAAUGCCGCGUGAGUGAAGAAGGCCUUCGGGUUGUAAAGCUCUUUUGUCAGGGAAGAAACACCGGCUCUAACACAGUCCGGAAGUGACGGUACCUGAAGAAUAAGCACCGGCUAACUACGUGCCAGCCGCCGCAGUAA
rnacentral:rRNA from 1 species